GAGAGUAUACUUCUCCCCCUUUGUCAUAAUCAAAAAGGUAGAAAAAAGAUGCUAGAAAGAUGAACAUGCAAGCACAUAGCUCACAUAGAUUAGACAUGAUUUACUAGAAAAGGAAAAAUAUUUUACUAAUAAAACAUUAAGAGCACAAGAGGAGGAAGCAACAUGGAUAAAAAAAGAACAAAAAUUAAAGCAAGAAACAAGAAGAAAAAAAGCAACAAAAAAC
rnacentral:lncRNA from 1 species